rnacentral:rRNA from 1 species
AGUGAACGCUGGCGGUAGGCCUAACACAUGCAAGUCGAACGGCAGCACAGUAAGAGCUUGCUCUUACGGGUGGCGAGUGGCGGACGGGUGAGGAAUACAUCGGAAUCUACUUUUUCGUGGGGGAUAACGUAGGGAAACUUACGCUAAUACCGCAUACGACCUACGGGUGAAAGCAGGGGAUCUUCGGACCUUGCGCGAUUGAAUGAGCCGAUGUCGGAUUAGCUAGUUGGCGGGGUAAAGGCCCACCAAGGCGACGAUCCGUAGCUGGUCUGAGAGGAUGAUCAGCCACACUGGAACUGAGACACGGUCCAGACUCCUACGGGAGGCAGCAGUGGGGAAUAUUGGACAAAGGGCGCAAGCCUGAUCCAGCUAUACCGCGUGGGUGAAGAAGGCCUUCGGGUUGUAAAGCCCUUUUGUUGGGAAAGAAAAGCAGCAGGUUAAUACCCCGCGGUUCUGACGGUACCCAAAGAAUAAGCACCGGCUAACUUCGUG